AUACGUAGGGGGCAAGCGUUAUCCGGAUUUACUGGGUGUAAAGGGAGCGUAGACGGUUUGGCAAGUCUGAAGUGAAAGCUCGGGGCUCAACCCCGGAACUGCUUUGGAAACUGUCGAACUGGAGUGCAGGAGAGGUAAGCGGAAUUCCUAGUGUAGCGGUGAAAUGCGUAGAUAUUAGGAGGAACACCAGAGGCGAAGGCGGCUUACUGGACUGUAACUGACGUUGAGGCUCGAAGGCGUGGGGAGCAAACAGGAUUAGAUACCCUGGUAGUCCACGCGGUAAACGAUGAUCACUAGGUGUCCGUGGGUAUGCCCCAUGGGUGCCGCAGCCAACGCAAUAAGUGAUCCACCUGGGGAGUACGUUCGCAAGAAUGAAACUCAAAUGAAUUGGCGGGG
rnacentral:rRNA from 1 species